GGAGGAUUACCCAAGUCCGGCUGAAGGGAACGGUCUUGAAAACCGUCAGGCGGGUAAAACCGCGCCAGGGUUCGAAUCCCUGAUCCUCCU
rnacentral:tRNA from 1 species